GGAGUUUGGACCGUGUCUCAGUUCCAAUGUGGGGGACCUUCCUCUCAGAACCCCUACUGAUCGUCGGCUAGGUGGGCCGUUACCCCGCCUACUACCUAAUCAGACGCAUCCCCAUCCAUAAGCGAUAAAUCUUUAUUCCAUCUCAGAUGUCUUUGGCGGAAACCAUAGGGCAUUAAUCUUACUUUCGCAAGGCUAUUCCCUACUUAUGGGCAGGUUGGAUACGCGAUACUCACCCGUGCGCCGGUCGUCAUCAGUCUUAGCAAGCUAAGACCAUGCUGCCCCUCGACUUGCAUGUGUUAAGCCUGUAGCUAGCGUUCAUC
rnacentral:rRNA from 1 species